rnacentral:rRNA from 1 species
UACGGGGGGUGCGAGCGUUGUCCGGAAUCACUGGGCGUAAAGGGCGCGUAGGUGGCGUCGUAAGUUUGUGGUGAAAGCCCGGAGCUCAACUCCGGGUCUGCCGCGAAUACUGCGAGGCUUGAGUACUGUAGAGGGGGGUAGAAUAUCGGGUGUAGCGGUGGAAUGCGUAGAGAUCCGAUAGAAGACCGGUGGCGAAGGCGGCCCCCUGGGCAGUAACUGACACUGAGGCGCGACAGCGUGGGGAGCGAACAGG